rnacentral:rRNA from 1 species
UACGUAGGGUGCGAGCGUUAAUCGGAAUUACUGGGCGUAAAGCGUGCGCAGGCGGUUUUGUAAGCCAGAUGUGAAAUCCCCGGGCUUAACCUGGGAAUGGCAUUUGGGACUGCAAGGCUUGAGUGCGGCAGAGGAGACUGGAAUUCCUGGUGUAGCAGUGAAAUGCGUAGAUAUCAGGAGGAACACCUGUGGCGAAAGCGGCUCACUGGACCACAACUGACGCUGAUGCACGAAAGCUAGGGGAGCAAACAGG